rnacentral:rRNA from 1 species
UCCUACGGGAGGCAGCAGUGGGGAAUAUUGGACAAUGGGGGGAACCCUGAUCCAGCCAUGCCGCGUGUGUGAAGAAGGCCUUAUGGUUGUAAAGCACUUUAAGCGAGGAGGAGGCUCUUUUGGUUAAUACCCAAGAUGAGUGGACGUUACUCGCAGAAUAAGCACCGGCUAACUCUGUGCCAGCAGCCGCGGUAAUACAGAG